AAGGGUGAAAUUAAUAUAAUUUUAGGAUAGAAAGAUUUGUUGUUGAAGCUAAAAAAUUUAAGGUUUAAACUAGGAUUAGAUACCCUAUUAUUCUUAGAUUAAAUUUGUUAUACUGGAAUAUUAUUAAUUAUUUUCUUUAAACUUAAAGAAUUUGGCGGUAAUUAAUCUUAUCAGAGGAAUCUGUUUUAAGUCGAUAACCCACGAAAAAUCUUACUUGAGUUUGUAUACCAUCAUUGUUAGAUAAAUUUUAGAGGAGUUAUUAUUGAAAUUAAUAUGAUUAAGGAAAUUAGAUCAAGGUGCAGCUAAUAAACAAGGAAAAAUGGAUUACAAUAAUAUUUUGUUACUACGGAGUAAUUAUUAUAAAGGGGGAUUUGUUUGUAUAAAAAUUUAAUAUGGUUUUAAGAUAUAAGUUCUUAAUUAUGUACAUAUCGCCCGUCGCUUUC
rnacentral:rRNA from 1 species